rnacentral:rRNA from 1 species
UCCUACGGGAGGCAGCAGUGAGGAAUUUUGCGCAAUGGGGGAAACCCUGACGCAGCAACGCCGCGUGAGUGAUGAAGGUUUUAGGACCGUAAAGCUCUGUCAAGUGGGAAGAACUUGCAGGAAAAUAAUACUAUCCUGCACUGACGGUACCACUGAAGGAAGCACCGGCUAACUCCGUGCCAGCAGCCGCGGUAACACGGGGGGUGCAAGCGUUAUUCGGAAUUAUUGGGCGUAAAGAGCGCGUAGGCGGUUUCUUAAGUCUGAUGUGAAAGCCCACGGCUCAACCGUGGAGGGUCAUUGGAAACUGGGAGACUUGAGUGCAGAAGAGGAAAGUGGAAUUCCAUGUGUAGCGGUGAAAUGCGUAGAGAUAUGGAGGAACACCAGUGGCGAAGGCGACUUUCUGGUCUGUAACUGACACUGAGGCGCGAAAGCGUGGGGAGCAAACAGGAUUAGAUACCCUGGUAGUCCACGCCGUAAACGAUGAGUGCUAAGUGUUAGAGGGUUUCCGCCCUUUAGUGCUGAAGUUAACGCAUUAAGCACUCCGCCUGGGGAGUACGGCCGCAAGGCUGAAACUCAAAGGAA